CACAAAUGCCAAUAAACUGGGAACGAAUGCUGGCGCGCGGAUUUGAGCGGAAUUCAAGACCCAGACAGAAGCCCAUCACAAACUUGUGACACGCAACGGCGCCAAGCAAAAAGAGCACCUGAGAGAGAAAUAGAGAAGACAAAUCUAGAUUGUGGCGGCAAACUAAAUUCAUUAAAAGAAGACCAAAUUAUGUCAAGGCGUGUGCGCAAACCUUUGUGGCCGAAUUUUGUACACCAAUCGCCAAUCCCUCGAUGGCCGAGUGCAACGACAACGCCACAAACAAGCCCAAUGUGCCGGUCAUAGUUUGUGCACAUGGCUCUGUGUGGCUGGUGUGACAAAUUCGGGCAUUCGCAUCCUCCACACUGUCAUCAUUGCAACCGGAAGCACCAAUGGCAACAUAAUCGCGAUCAUGACCGCUAAAACAAAAGGCAAUGCCAAACAAUUAAUACAAUUGAUUUAAAAUAUACAUAUGUAAUUGA